rnacentral:rRNA from 1 species
AGUGAACGCUGGCGGUAGGCCUAACACAUGCAAGUCGAACGGCAGCACAGUAAGAGCUUGCUCUUACGGGUGGCGAGUGGCGGACGGGUGAGGAAUACAUCGGAAUCUACUUUUUCGUGGGGGAUAACGUAGGGAAACUUACGCUAAUACCGCAUACGACCUACGGGUGAAAGCAGGGGAUCUUCGGACCUUGCGCGAUUGAAUGAGCCGAUGUCGGAUUAGCUAGUUGGCGGGGUAAAGGCACACCAAGGCGACGAUCCGUAGCUGGUCUGAGAGGAUGAUCAGCCACACUGGAACUGAGACACGGUAGAGACUCCUACGGGAGGAAGCAGUGGGGAAUAUUGGACAAGGGGCGAAAGCCUGAUCCAGCAAUACCGCGUGGGUGAAGAAGGCCUUCGGGUUGUAAAGCCCUUUUGUUGGGAAAGAAAAGAAGCAGGUUAAUACCCCGCUGUUCUGACGGUACCCAAAGAAUAAGCACCGGCUAACUUCGUG